AUGGCCUUUCACUUUUUUUUUUUUUUAAGUUGCUAUGGAAAUUGCAGUAGCAUUUGCCGUUCCGGUGUUUUUGUAAUAGAACCCAUUGGAGCAGAACUCCCUGACAUUUGUUGUCCAUGUCCUGCUAGAGCAGAUCUUCCUAACCCUUUAUUUCCUUGUCGCACUAUAUCAGAACUCUCUAAUUGCCAUGACACUGCAGCAAAACCCUCUGCCCCUUGUAGUUUAUGUCUCACUGAGGCAGAACUCCUUGAAUCUUGCUGUCCCAUUGUAGCAGAACUCCCUAACCCUUGCAGUUCCUGUCCCAUUGUAGCAGAACUCCCUAACCCUUGCAGUUCCUGUCCCAUUGUAGCAGAACUCCCUAACCAGUGCAGUUCCUGUCCCAUUGUAGCAGAACUCCCUAACCCUUGCAGUUCCUGUCCCAUUGUAGCAGAACUCCCUAACCCGUGCAGUUCCUGUCCCAUUGUAGCAGAACUCCCUAACCCUUGCAGUUCCUGUCCCAUUGUAGCAGAACUCCCUAACCCUUGCAGUUCCUGUCCCAUUGUAGCAGAACUCCCUAACCCUUGCAGUUCCUGUCCCAUUGUAGCAGAACUCCCUAACCCUUGCAGUUCCUGUCCCAUUGUAGCAGAACUCCCUAACCCUUGCAGUUCCUGUCCCAUUGUAGCAGAACUCCCUAACCCUUGCAGUUCCUGUCCCAUUGUAGCAGAACUCCCUAACCCUUGCAGUUCCUGUCCCAUUGUAGCAGAACUCCCUAACCCUUGCAGUUCCUGUCCCAUUGUAGCAGAACUCCCUAACCCUUGCAGUUCCUGUCCCAUUGUAGCAGAACUCCCUGACCCUUGCAGUUCCUGUCCCAUUGUAGCAGAACUCCCUGACCCUUGCAGUUCCUGUCCCAUUGUAGCAGAACUUCCUGACCCUUGCAGUUCCUGUCCCAUUGUAGCAGAACCUAUUGGACAUACACAGGAAAACUGUAAAUAUCAAAACCACAUUAAGUACAACAUAAUCAUUUGCAGUCAUUUCCAGUUCAUUGUAUUUAAGCCUUAA
ensembl:lncRNA